AUGGACGCCUCCUCCAGCGCCGCACCAACCAACCUCUCUGGUCAGGUCACCGAGAAGCUGACACGCACCAACUACAUCCUCUGGCGGACUCAAGUCACGCCGCAGCUUCGUGGUGCUGGCUUCUACGGGUAUGUCGACGGCUCCAUGCCGGAGCCGGCCCGACUCGUCGUCACCAAGGACAAAGAAGGGAAGGAGGAGACUUCCCUGAACCCCCUUCAUCUGAUCUGGAUGCGCGAAGAGCAGCAGGUACUUGGCUACCUUCUGAAUAAUCUCUCCAGGCGCCACGCGGGCGGCAGCGACUCGUCAACCCGACGCCACCGAGCCGCACCAAUCCGAGGCGGCCACGUGUUCCCCUGGGAGGCGCUGGCCAGCAGACGGGCCCCGCUGCUAUGCACGUCGCCAGCCGACAGCGGGCGCGCCCACCUACGCAGAUCUGACGGGCUCUGCGGGCGCGGGAUCCGGUGCUGA
rnacentral:rRNA from 1 species